rnacentral:rRNA from 1 species
AUUGAACGCUGGCGGCAGGCCUAACACAUGCAAGUCGAGCGGAGCGGCGGACGGGUGAGUAAGACCUAGGAAGGUGCCUGCCAGUGGGAGGGAACAACCGGAAACGGGCGCUAAUACCGCCUACUUUCAGAUGAGCAUAGGUAGGAUUGGCUAGCUGGUGGGGUAAAGGCCGACGAAGGCGACAGUCAGUAGCUGGUCUGAGAGGAUGAACAGUCACACGGGAACUGAGACACGGUCCAGACUCCUACGAGAGGCAGCAGUGGUGAAUAGUGGACAAUGGGCGCAAGCCUGAUCCAGCCAUGCCGCGUGUGUGAAGAAGGUCUUCUUAUUGUAAAGUACUUUAAGUUGGAAGGCGUUACCAACAGAAUAAGCACCGGCUAACUUCGUGCCAGCAGCCGCGGUAAUUC